GAUGAAGAACGUAGCAAAAUGCGAUAAGUAAUGUGAAUUGCAGAAUUCAGUGAAUCAUCGAAUCUUUGAACGCACAUUGCGCCCGCCAGUAUUCUGGCGGGCAUGCCUGUUCGAGCGUCAUUUCAACCCUCAAGCACAGCUUGGUGUUGGGACUCGCGUUAAUUCGCGUUCCUCAAAUUGAUUGGCGGUCACGUCGAGCUUCCAUAGCGUAGUAGUAAAACCCUCGUUACUGGUAAUCGUCGCGGCCACGCCGUUAAACCCCAACUUCUGAAUGUUGACCUCGGAUCAGGUAGGAAUACCCGCUGAACUUAAGAAUAUCAAUAAGCGGAGGA
rnacentral:misc_RNA from 1 species